AUUUUNUNAAUGGGCGAAAGCCUGANGCAGCGACGCCGCGUGGGGGAUGAACGGCUUCGGCCCGUAAACCCCUGUCAUUUGCGAACAAAUUGGUUCACCUAACACGUGAACCAUUGAUAGUAGCGGAAGAGGAAGGGACGGCUAACUCUGUGCCAGCAGCCGCGGUAAUACAGAGGUCCCAAGCGUUGUUCGGAUUCACUGGGCGUAAAGGGUGCGUAGGCGGUCGGGUAAGUCUGAUGUGAAAGCUCGGAGCUUAACUCCGAAAUGGCGUCGGAUACUAUCCGGCUCGAGGAGUGGAGGGGAGACUGGAAUACUUGGUGUAGCAGUGAAAUGCGUAGAUAUCAAGUGGAACACCAGUGGCGAAGGCGAGUCUCUGGACACUUCCUGACGCUGAGGCACGAAAGCCAGGGGAGCAAACGGGAUUAGAUACCCCGGUAGUCCUGGCCCUAAACGGUGCGCGUUUGCUGUGAGCGGAAUCGACCCCGCUCGUGGCGAAGCUAACGCGUUAAACGCGCCGCCUGGGAAGUACGGCCGCAAGGUUAAAACUCAAAAAAAUUGACGGA
rnacentral:rRNA from 1 species